rnacentral:pre_miRNA from 1 species
UAUAAAAAAAAUUCCGUGUCCAACGUUUGACCGUCCGUCUUGUUUAAAAAAAUUAAAAGGAUAAGUCACGCAUAAAGUAUUAAUCAUGUUUUAUCAUCUAACAACAAUGAAAAUACUAAUUAUAAAAAAAUUUCAUAUAAGACGGACAGUCAAACGUUGGCACGGAAAUCCAGGGUUUGCCUUUUU